CCUACGGGCGGCAGCAGUGAGGAAUAUUGGUCAAUGGCCGUAAGGCUGAACCAGCCAAGUCGCGUGAAGGAAGAAGGAUCUAUGGUUUGUAAACUUCUUUUAUAGGGGAAUAAAGGUAUCCACGUGUGGAUAUUUGCAUGUACCCUAUGAAUAAGCAUCGGCUAACUCCGUGCCAGCAGCCGCGGUAAUACGGAGGAUGCGAGCGUUAUUCGGAUUGAUUGGGCUUAAAGGGUACGGAGGUGGUUUUUUAAGUCAGCGGUGAAAGUUUCUGGCUCAACCAUAAAAUUGCCGUUGAAACUGGCAGGCUUGAGUGUGGUAGAGGUAGGUAGAAUGCGAGGUGUAGCGGUGAAAUGCAUAGAGAUCACGCAGAACACCGAUUGCGAAGGCAGCCUCCUAAGCCAUGACUGACACUGAGGUGCGAAAGCGUGGGGAUCAAACAGGAUUAGAUACCCGAGUAGUC
rnacentral:rRNA from 1 species